rnacentral:rRNA from 1 species
GCUACGGCCAUACCAGCCUGGGUACGCCCGAUCUCGUCUGAUCUCGUAAGCUAAGCAGGGUCGUGCCUGGUUAGUACUUGGAUGGGAGACCGCCUGGCAAUACCAGGUGCUGUAAGCA